GACGAACGCUGGCGGCGUGCUUAACACAUGCAAGUCGAACGGAAAGGCCCUGCUUUUGUGGGGUGCUCGAGUGGCGAACGGGUGAGUAACACGUGAGUAACCUGCCCUUGACUGUGGGAUAACUUCAGGAAACUGGGGCUAAUACCGGAUAGGAGCUCCUGCUGCAUGGUGGGGGUUGGAAAGUUUCGGCGGUUGGGGAUGGACUCGCGGCUUAUCAGCUUGUUGGUGGGGGAGUGGCUUACCAAGGCUUUGACGGGUAGCCGGCCUGAGAGGGUGACCGGCCACAUUGGGCCUGAGAUACGGCCCAGACUCCUACGGGGGGCAGCAGUGGGGAAUAUUGCACAAUGGGCGGAAGCCUGAUGCAGCAGCGCCGCGUGCGGGAUGACGGCCUUCGGGUUGUAAACCGCUUUCGCCUGUGACGAAGCGUGAGUGACGGUAAUGGGUAAAGAAGCACCGGCUAACUACGUG
rnacentral:rRNA from 1 species